GCGUCCAUAGCUCAGCUGGAUAGAGCAACAGUUUGCGGUACUGUGGGUCAGGGGUUCGAAUCCCUUUGGGCGCGCCA
rnacentral:tRNA from 1 species